CCUCCGGGUGGCUGCAGUGGGGAAUAUUGGACAAUGGGCGAAAGCCUGAUCCAGCCAUGCCGCGUGUGUGAAGAAGGCCUUCGGGUUGUAAAGCACUUUCAGUGGGGAAGAAAGCCUUGGGGCUAAUACCCUCGAGGAAGGACAUCACCCACAGAAGAAGCACCGGCUAACUCCGUGCCAGCAGCCGCGGUAAUACGGAGGGUGCGAGCGUUAAUCGGAAUUACUGGGCGUAAAGCGCGCGUAGGCGGUCUGAUAAGCCGGUUGUGAAAGCCCCGGGCUCAACCUGGGAACGGCAUCCGGAACUGUCAGGCUAGAGUGCAGGAGAGGAAGGUAGAAUUCCCGGUGUAGCGGUGAAAUGCGUAGAGAUCGGGAGGAAUACCAGUGGCGAAGGCGGCCUUCUGGACUGACACUGACGCUGAGGUGCGAAAGCGUGGGUAGCAAACAGGAUUAGAUACCCGAGUAGUC
rnacentral:rRNA from 1 species